UGGAAAUUGGACCAGUGAACCCAAAG
rnacentral:piRNA from 1 species